CAGCCUGAUAUCCUGCUGGCUCCCUGUAUCCUCUGCCAAUCCCCAGACAGCCUUGGAUUGAGAUUUUGUUACUGGACUCCCACCUUCCAAGGGUUUCCACAGGACAUUGUUUCUGAUCGAGGAGUCCAAUUCAUCUCCGGCUUCUGGAGGGAGUUCUACAGCUUACUCUGUGCCACCUCCAGUCUGACAUCCAGACUUACUGUCCCCUGUACCAUCUGCCUUCAGCCUUAUCCUCUGCUGCCAGCGAACCUGUGAGUGGGCCAGACAGGCCUUAUGCCAUUCCUUGGCACUAUACAAGACUGUUUCUGACCGUAAGAGAUCCUCGGAAGGUUUGGCUAUCCACUUGCAACCUGCCUCUACGUGGUGUUCCCAGGAAGCUUUCUCCCAGGUUCGUUGGCCCUUUUCCCGUUUCUAAAAUUAUUAACACAGUCUCUGUCCGUCUCUGCCUUCCUAAGGCCAUGUGCAGUCAUCCCAUGUUUCAUGGAAGCCAU